CCCCCCUUAUUGACUUUUUAUCUCCCCCACGCCCAAGUUAGACCCCACUGCACUUUAGGAAACAUGAUUCCUGGAGCCGCAUAUGCCUGUCUGCGAGCACACACAAGUUCCAUGAUAACAAACUCAAGCCAAAUCUCAAGCUGAGAGUCCAGCACUUCGCUUACCGAAAUGAUUGGCAGCCUUCUCAAGCAAAAGGCUGAGACCUGAAGCAGUCUGCUAACCCACCUCCUACCAAUGGACUUUGUAGCAGCUGCAGCAGAGAAUUCACAGAGCUGCUGUCACACUCAGCUGUCUCACUGGGAAAGUGAAUGAUUGUUCCUCUAAACACCUGCCCCGUUCUCAGCCUCGGUCAUCACUCAGUCCUGCUUACCCUAUUUUCCAAACGGACACACUUCUCUACCCUCACUACCACUCUACAAAUCUGAGCCACUGUCCUCUCCCAAGUUGACUGUUGCAAGUAACUACUAACUACUGACAGCUGCCCUGCUUCCUUGGUGGUUCCAGAUGUUCAGAAAGGUAACACUGAAGGACAGUGAGGGAGCUACGUAUCCUGCCUUCCGUCUGUUGGGCUGUCCGACCUGUCACAAUGUAUUUCUCUGCUUUCCUACCAUAACGUGUGAUAACUUUCCCAACAGCACAAUCAAUCUGUAUAGAAAACUGCUCUGCUUCUCCUGCUAAGUAUUCUAGGUGUGGGAGGGAGGGCUAAGCAAUGACUGAUGGAAACUGCCACACAGCUGAAGUAUCCCCAGCAUCAGCCACUACAGUAUCAACAGGUGCAGAGAGCUUACAGACUGCUUUGAUGCAGAUGCCCUGUUUAUUUGUCCCUGUACUUUGUGACCCACUACAAAAUGAAAAUGCACAGUUUUCUGUUAAUUCUUACGAAUGUUGAGGGACCUACAUUCCACUAUCUCCCUCAGUGUGCACAUCAUCUUUAAAGAUUGAUCUUCUCAAAAGAAAUGCAGCAAAGCCAAUGGCAGCGGAUUGGUGGCAACACUCUGUGGCUGAGGGAUGACAGUGCCUGCCCGUGCAGUGGGCUGCAGAGGGGAGGCACAGUGCCCGACUUCCAGGGCUGGGCAGGAGGGAUUCGAUCAUGGGGUUUCUGGACCCUGUGCUGUUUCUUUUUCUUUUUCAUUCACCAGAGCUUUGCUCAGCUCUGACGAAUAGUAAGGGGUUCAAGAGACCGGACACUGGAUUUCUGAGCCUGAGGCAUGGAAAAUUGACGCCAGGCCCCUCCGCCAUUCAGGAAGCUCCCCGAGGUGAAGAACGACAUUGUCACUGACAGUCACCUCAGACACGGCACUCAGCAUGGCGCUGGCUGCACACGGUACACUGCAUGCGCUCCCGGAAUGUAGCGCGUUCCCUUGCAUUUGUCCUCUGCAACAUGAUUUCAGCUUCAAGGAGGUCUGUCUUGCGACUUUAUCAACUCCAAGGAAUGAUUGUUUCUGUCCAUCACUUUUGUACAGGAAAACAAAACCGAGGGAGCAAAAGAACCACUUCCUUAUGUGUGUGAUAUGGAGCCUAGCACACCACAGUGUGCCCUGCCUGUCUCCACCACUCCAGGACACUCCUUUUACUUUAGAGAGAGAGGGGGAGAGAGAGACAUACAGACAGAGAGACAUGCCAGAGCAUUGUUCAGCCUAACACGCCACAGUGUGCCCUGCCUGUCUCCACCACUCCAGGACACUCGUUUUUUUUUUUUUUCUUGAGAGAGAGAGGGAGGGAGGGAGGUAGGGAGCGAGGCAGGGAGAGAGAGAGAGAGAGAGAGAGAGAGAGAGAUUGAGAGGAAGACAGACAUGCCAGAGCACUGUGCAGCUCUGUUUAUGGUGAUGCCAGGGAUUGAAGCUGGGACCUGGGAGUCUCAGGCAUGAAAGUCUUCUGUAUAACCAUUAUGUUGUCUUCACAGCUCUGUCUUUAGUUUUCUACAUGAUUUGAAUGGCAUCACACUGGCAUUUCUGAAAUUGAUUUAUUUGGGGAAGGAGGAAGGAAGAGUGGAAGGGAGGAAGGAGCGAGAGAAAGACCACGUGUGGGAGCUAGAGAGGGCGAGCACAUUUGCUCAGUUCUAGAGUAUGGUGGUGACCAGAUUCAGCCUAGGACAUCCCUGCCUCAGAUGCCAAAGCCUGGUGUGCUACAGCCUGUGUGUGCUCUCUCCUCGACCCACAUUACAGGAUUUGCUGUUUUCUUUUCUUUAUUUUUUCCCUCCAGGGUCAUCACUGGGGUUUGGUGCCAGCGCUAUGAACCCACUGCUCCUGGAGGCCAUGCCCCCAUUUUAUUGUACAGGACAGAGAGAACUUGAGAGGAGAGGGAUAGAGAAGGAGAAAGAAGGACAGACACCUCAGACCUGCUUCACCGCUUGUGAAGCAUCCCGCUUCAGGUGGGGAGCCAGGGGCUCAAACUCAGACCCUGGAGUGGGUCCCUGCCCUUCGUCUAUGUGUGCUUAGCUGGGUGAUCCACUGCCGGCCCCCGCUGUUUUUUGUAUUUCAACUUCAAACAUGACAAAGUCUUGGAUUUAGAACCUAUAAGUAAUUCAUUUGGGAAGUGAAGAAGAAAUAGAAGUCUCAUUCCACACCCAGCCUUUAACUUGUUUGUGUGUGUGAGGAGAGUGAAGAGCAAGGCCAGGACAUCUCUUUCUAGGCGUCAUGGGAGCUGGAAGGCAGAGCCUGAGGCCUGCAAGGCCUGUGCUCUACCACUGAGCCACCUCACAGGGACACCCUCUGGCACAGCUACACGUCCCUCUGCAUGGUGUGAGGACACACAUUCAUUACAGGGUGUUUGGUGGCUGCUUACAACUUGACUCUUUACAAAUUCUCGGCAAUAAAAAAGUGAAUCUUCCCUGACUAAUGUUUUUUCUUCUCUUUUUUUUCGUCAAAGA